AAUCAACGCUGGCGGCGUGCCUCAGACAUGCAAGUCGAACGAUUAAGACUUCCCUCGGGUGGUGCAUAAAGUCGCGCACGGGUGAGUAACACGUAAGUAAUCUACCCUCGAGUGGGGAAUAACGUGCGGAAACGAACGCUACUACAGCAUAACGCAGCGGCAACGCAAGGGGACAGUUGUCAAAGGGGCAACCCGCUUGAGGAGGAGCGUGCGGCAGAUUAGUUAGUUGGUAAGGUAAUGGGUUACCAAGGCUACGAUCUGUAUCCGGUCUAAGAGGACGGUCGGACACACUGACACUGAAUAACGGGUCAGACUCCUACGGGAGGCAGCAGUCGGGAAUUUUGGGCAAUGGGCGAAAGCCUGACCCAGCAACGCCGCGUGAAGGAUGAAGUAUUUCGGUAUGUAAACUUCGAAAGAAUGGGUAGAAUAAAUGACGGUACCAUUUAUAAGCUCCGGCUAACUACGUGCCAGCCGCCGCAGUAAGAC
rnacentral:rRNA from 1 species